GUUUAGGUAGCUCAGUUGGUUAGAGCGAAGGACUGAAAAUCCUUAGGUCAGUGGUUCAAAUCCGCUCCUAAACG
rnacentral:tRNA from 1 species